rnacentral:rRNA from 1 species
CCUACGGGUGGCAGCAGUGGGGAAUAUUGGACAAUGGGCGAAAGCCUGAUCCAGCCAUGCCGCGUGUGUGAAGAAGGCCUUCGGGUUGUAAAGCACUUUCAGUGGGGAAGAAAGCCUUGGGGCUAAUACCCUCGAGGAAGGACAUCACCCACAGAAGAAGCACCGGCUAACUCCGUGCCAGCAGCCGCGGUAAUACGGAGGGUGCGAGCGUUAAUCGGAAUUACUGGGGCGUAAAGCGCGCGUAGGCGGUCUGAUAAGCCGGUUGUGAAAGCCCCGGGCUCAACCUGGGAACGGCAUCCGGAACUGGUCAGGUAGGGUGCAGGAGAGGAAGGGAGAAUUCCCGGUGGUGCGGUUAAAUGCGGAGAGAACGGGAGGAAUACCAGUGGGGAAGGCCGGCUUUCGGAAUGACAACGGAGGCGGGGUGGCAAAGCGUGGGUAGCAAACAGGAUUAGAUACCCGGGUAGUC